UAACCGGCUUGUGGCAGCCAAGCGUUCACAGUGACGUCGCGUUUCGAUGGUUAGAUGUUGGCUCUUCGAAUCAUUGUGAAGGAAAAUUCAAGAAACAGGGAACGUGAGCUCAGUUCAGACCGCCGUGAGACAAGUA
rnacentral:ncRNA from 1 species